rnacentral:rRNA from 1 species
GGCAACUUCCAUAUCACGUUCAAAAAUACCAGUUCUCGUCCGAUCACUGAAGUUGAGCAUGGUUAGUACUUGGAUGACCGCUUGGGAACACUAUGUGAUGUCCUCC